rnacentral:rRNA from 1 species
UACGUAGGGGGCAAGCGUUGUCCGGAUUUAUUGGGCGUAAAGAGCGUGUAGGCGGCUUUACAGGUCCGUUGUGAAAACUCGAGGCUCAACCUCGAGACGCCGGUGGAAACCGUAAGGCUAGAGUCCGGAAGAGGAGAGUGGAAUUCCUGGUGUAGCGGUGAAAUGCGCAGAUAUCAGGAGGAACACCAAUUGCGAAGGCAGCUCGCUGGAACGUAACUGACGCUGAGACGCGAAAGCGUGGGGAGCAAACAGG